AUGGGCACGGCAACUCUGACGACAGACCAAGAAGAGCUUCAGAAACGGAAACCGACCCAAGCGUCUCAGCUCCUCUGCCGCAGCGGCCCGCCGCGACGCAAGAUGGGGACAGACGCCCCCGCCCCCGCCCCGGCCGCGGCCGCCGGAGACGGCGACGCGGCCCGGAAGCGGCCGGGCGGGCAGGACGCGGCCGCGGGCGCCGACAGCAAGCGCCGCCGCGCGGAGCACCCCUCCUCCGGCUCCCGCGAGCGCCACGGCCAGCAGCCGCAGCCGCAGCCGCAGCGGCAGCAGAGGCCGGGGCGCCCCGGGGACGGGGGCAAGGGGAAGAGGGAGACGAUGCGGGCGUCGCACAUCCUGAUCAAGCACGAGGGGUCCCGGCGCAAGGCCUCGUGGCGGGACCCCGACGGCGUCGCCAUCUCCGCCACCACCCGCGACGACGCCGCCGACCUCGCCCGCGCCCUCCGCGACCAGAUCGCCGCCGGGGAGCUCCAGUUCGACGCCGCCGCCCGCGACAACUCCGACUGCAACUCCGCCAAGCGCGGCGGCGACCUCGGUCCAUUCGAGAAGGGCAAGAUGCAGAAGCCUUUCGAGAAGGCAGUGAUUGCUCUGAAGGUGGGGGACAUGAGCGACGUGGUUGACACUGAGAGCGGGGUGCACAUCAUCCUGAGGACCGGGUGA
rnacentral:rRNA from 1 species